AGGGUUCGAUUAUGGCUCAGGACGAACGCUGGCGGCGCGCCUAACACAUGCAAGUCGAACGAGAGAGAGGAAGCUUGCUUCCUCAAUCGAGUGGCGAACGGGUGAGUAACGCGUGAGGAACCUGCCUCAAAGAGGGGGACAACAGUUGGAAACGACUGCUAAUACCGCAUAAGCCCACAGGUCGGCAUCGACCAGAGGGAAAAGGAGCAAUCCGCUUUGAGAUGGCCUCGCGUCCGAUUAGCUAGUUGGUGAGGUAAUGGCCCACCAAGGCGACGAUCGGUAGCCGGACUGAGAGGUUGAACGGCCACAUUGGGACUGAGACACGGCCCAG
rnacentral:rRNA from 1 species